UACGUAGGUGGCAAGCGUUGUCCGGAAUUACUGGGCGUAAAGCGUGCGCAGACGGUCACGUAAGUCGGGUGUGAAAGCCCCGGGCUCAACCUGGGAAUUGCAUUCGAGACUGCGUGGCUAGGGUGCGGAAGAGGGAAGCGGAAUUUCCGGUGUAGCGGUGAAAUGCGUAGAUAUCGGAAGGAACACCAGUGGCGAAAGGCGGCUCCUGGUCCAGCACCGACGUCAGGCACCGAA
rnacentral:rRNA from 1 species